CUACAUCGUUUACCCUCCCUGUUUUACCCUCCCAAUUGGCUUCCCAUUUCGUCGCCUCUUCCUUCGUUCUACCUUCGUUCUACCUUCGCCUCCCGAUUGGCUUCCCCAUUCCUUCGCCUCUUCCUCUGUCUCUCAACCUUUUCUUUUCUUUUUCUUUACAACCAGUCACUCUUUCGAUUUGCCAACCAGUCGAACUUUUUCUUUUCUUUUUCUCUGUGUCACUCCUUCCAUUGCUCUCAAUUGGUGUUACUGCUACUUAAAGAAUUUGCCCUUGAGUUCCAAAGGAAUAUCAUCAAUGGCCAUGAAUGUCAGAAGUGCCUGUUUCUCAGUUUUGAGUUGCAAGAAACCCAACCGAAUAAGAGCGGUUGCUUCCGAGGAUUUUGCCACUACCGCUGCUCUCAAAACAGAUACAGAAGACAAAUUGAAGUUAGGAGGAUCGGAGCUCAAAGUGACAAGGCUCGGAAUCGGAGCAUGGUCUUGGGGUGACACCAGUUACUGGAACAACUUUCAAUGGGAUGAUCAGAAAUUGAAGGCUGCUAAGGCUGCUUUCAAUGGAAGUCUUGAUUGCGGAAUUACGUUUUUCGAUACAACUGAAGUUUAUGGCUCUCCGCUCGCCUUAGGUGCUGAAAAUUCUGAAACUCUACUGGGAAGGUGCCCUUACCGGGAAAUAUAAACCAGAAAAUCCGCCAUCUGGACCUAGAGGCCGGAUUUACACUCCGGAGUUUUUAACUAAGCUCCAACCUCUCCUUAUCAGAAUUAAGGAAAUAGGAGGGAACUAUGGGAAAACUCCAACACAGGUGGUGCUCAACUGGUUAAUAGCACAGGAGAAUGUUGUGCCAAUCCCAGGAGCCAAAAAUGCUGCACAAGCUAAGGAAUUUGUAGGUGCCCUUGGCUGGAGACUAAGCAACGAAGAAGUGGAUGAGCUACGGUCACUGGCAUCGGAGAUAAGUCCUGUUACCGGUUUUCCUGUGGAGAAGCUGUAAUUCUUUUUGCUUCGAUUCAGGUUGACUUAAUUCUUGAAUGUUAAACAUAGAAUGAAUAACUCAUAUUCUAGUAUUGGUUCCUUUGAGCCUCAUUGUUUGGGUGUUCAUUCUGAUGCCCAAUUUAUAGGAUCAGAUAAUGGGAAUUGUCUACUAGUGGUGUGUGGGGCAAUGAUUUCUACAAAAAAAAAAAAAGAAGAGAGUAAUGGUUCCUCUUUCUCUCCCCACCCUGUUUGUAAUAGUACCAUGUAAUGUAUGUAUAUCUUUGUGGUAGUCCAGUCAAAGAAAUUCAAUCCUAGAAGCCUUACCA